rnacentral:rRNA from 1 species
GUGACAGGAGCGGGGUGGACCCACCCGUUCCCAUCCCGAACACGGUCGUGAAACGCCCCAGCGCCGACGAUACUGGCCUCGCAAGGGGCUGGGAAAAUAGGCCGUUGCC